rnacentral:misc_RNA from 1 species
GAUGAAGAACGUAGCGAAAUGCGAUACGUAAUGUGAAUUGCAGAAUUCAGUGAAUCAUCGAAUCUUUGAACGCAUAUUGCGCUCUUUGGUAUUCCGAAGAGCAUGCUUGUUUGAGUAUCAGUAAACACCUCAAAGUCUUUUUUUUUCUUGAAGAAAAAGACCUUGGACUUGAGCAAUCCCAACUCUUCUUUCAGAAGAGGCGGGUUGCUUGAAAUGCAGGUGCAGCUGGACAUUCUCCUGAGCUAAAAGCAUAUUCAUUUAGUCCCGUCAAACGGAUUAUUACUUUUGCUGCAGCUAACAUAAAGGGAGUUUGACCAUUUUGGCUGACUGAUGCAGGAAUUUCACAAGAGUCUUCAAAACGCUCUUGUUAAACUCGAUCUCAAAUCAAGUAAGACUACCCGCUGAACUUAAGCAUAUCAAUAAGCGGAGGA